rnacentral:rRNA from 1 species
CUGCAGCCCGAGUGGUGAUCGAUUUUAUUGAGCCUAAAGCGUCCGUAGCCGGACUAGUAAACCCUUGGGUAAAUUGGGCAGCUUAACUGUCCAAAUUCCGAGGGGACUGCUAGUCUUGGGACCGGGAGAGGUCAGAGGUACUCAAGGGGUAGGGGCUAAAUCCUGUAAUCCUUUGGGGACCACCAGUGGCGAAGGCGUCUGACUAGAACGGAUCCGACGGUAAGGGACGAAACCCUGGGGCGCGAACCGGACUAGAUACCCGAGUAGUCC